GAAUCAACGCUGGCGGCGUGCCUCAGACAUGCAAGUCGAACGAUUAAAGCUCCCUUCGGGGAGUGCAUAAAGUGGCGCACGGGUGAGUAACACGUAAGUAAUCUACCCUCGGGUGGGGAAUAACGUUCGGAAACGAACGCUAAUACCGCAUAAUGCAGCGGCACCGCAAGGUGACAGUUGUUAAAGAUUUAUUGCCUGGGGAGGAGCUUGCGGCAGAUUAGCUUGUUGGUAAGGUAACGGCUUACCAAGGCUACGAUCUGUAUCCGGUCUAAGAGGACGGUCGGACACACUGACACUGAAUAACGGGUCAGACUCCUACGGGAGGCAGCAGUCGGGAAUUUUGGGCAAUGGGGGAAACCCUGACCCAGCAACGCCGCGUGAAGGAUGAAGUAUUUCGGUAUGUAAACUUCGAAAGAAUAGGAAGAAUUAAUGACGGUACUAUUUAUAAGGUCCGGCUAACUACGUGCCAGCAGCCGCGGUAAUACGUAGGGACCAAGCGUUGUUCGGAUUUACUGGGCGUAAAGGGCGCGUAGGCGGCGCGGUAAGUCACUUGUGAAAUCUCUGAGCUUAACUCAGAACGGCCAAGUGAUACUGCAGUGCUAGAGUGUGGAAGGGGCAAUCGGAAUUCUUGGUGUAGCGGUGAAAUGCGUAGAUAUCAAGAGGAACACCUGAGGUGAAGACGGGUUGCUGGGCCAACACUGACGCUGAGGCGCGAAAGCCAGGGGAGCAAACGGGAUUAGAUACCCCGGUAGUCCUGGCCCUAAACGAUGAAUACUUGGUGUCUGGUAGUUUUAAUACUUCGGGUGC
rnacentral:rRNA from 1 species